UACGAAGGGGGCUAGCGUUGCUCGGAAUUAUUGGGCGUAAAGCGCACGUAGGCGGUUUGUUAAGUCGGAUGUGAAAGCCCUCGGCUCAACUGAGGAAGUGCAUCCGAAACUGGCAGGCUUGAGUACUAAAGAGGGUCGCGGAAUUCCCGGUGUAGAGGUGAAAUUCGUAGAUAUCGGGAGGAACACCGGUGGCGAAGGCGGCGACCUGGGUAGAUACUGACGCUGAGGUGCGAAAGCGUGGGGAGCAAACAGG
rnacentral:rRNA from 1 species